ACAGUCACUGACAUUAGAUACCCGCGUAGUCCAGGGUGUAAACGCUGCAGACUUGGUGUUGGAGGCCCUUUGGGGGCAUUCAGUGCCGGAGAGAAGUUGUUAAGUCUGCUACUUGGGGAGUACGUCCGCAAGGAUGAAACUUAAAGGAAUUGGCGGGGGAGCACCGCAACGGGAGGAGCGUGCGGUUUAAUUGGAUUCAACGCCGUAAAACUCACCAGGGAAGACUGUUACAUGAAGGCCGAGAUGAAGACUCUGCUAGAUUUUCAG
rnacentral:rRNA from 1 species